rnacentral:rRNA from 1 species
GUAGGUGGCAAGCGUUGUCCGGAAUUAUUGGGGCGUAAAGCGCGCGCAGGCGGUUCUUUAAGUCUGAUGUGAAAGCCCACGGGCUCAACCGUGGGAGGGUCAUUGGAAACUGGAGAACUUGAGUACAGAAGAGGAAAGCGGAAUUCCACGUGUAGCGGUGAAAUGCGUAGAGAUGUGGAGGAACACCAGUGGCGAAGGCGGCUUUCUGGUCUGUAACUGACGCUGAGGCGCGAAAGCGUGGGGAGCAAACAGGAUUAGAUACCCUGGUAGUCCACGCCGUAAACGAUGAGUGCUAAGUGUUAGGGGGUUUCCGCCCCUUAGUGCUGCAGCUAACGCAUUAAGCACUCCGCCUGGGGAGUACAGCCGCAAAGGCUGA